CAGCGCCGCGGGAAUACGAAGGGUGCAAGCGUUACUCGGAAUUACUGGGCGUAAAGCGUGCGUAGGUGGUGGUUUAAAUCCGUUGUGAAAGCCCUGGGCUCAACCUGGGAAUUGCAGUGGAUACUGGGUCACUAGAGUGUGGUAGAGGAUAGUGGAAUUUCCGGUGUAGCAGUGAAAUGCGUAGAGAUCGGAAGGAACAUCUGUGGCGAAGGCGACUAUCUGGGCCAACACUGACACUGAGGCACGAAAGCGUGGGGAGCAAACAGGAUUAGAUACCCGUGUAGUCCCUGUCUCUUAUACA
rnacentral:rRNA from 1 species